AAAGUCCUGAUGUGUUCGUUAUCCGCCCUGAAGUUUUGACCGAACAUAUCUACUUCGGGAGCCCGGGGUUUCCAGACUGCGCAAAUGCCUCUCUUAUGUGGACUUGCAAUGCCUGGGACAGUGCACCCACCUGCUUUGCAUAGAGCGGGUUCAAAACGAAGGAUUAAAGUUAACGGCACGCUUGGGACUUUU
rnacentral:other from 1 species